rnacentral:rRNA from 1 species
AUUGAACGCUGGCGGCAUGCCUUACACAUGCAAGUCGAACGGCAGCACGGGAGCAAUCCUGGUGGCGAGUGGCGAACGGGUGAGUAAUAUAUCGGAACGUGCCCAGUCGUGGGGGAUAACGUAGCGAAAGCUACGCUAAUACCGCAUACGAUCUAUGGAUGAAAGCGGGGGAUCGCAAGACCUCGCGCGAUUGGAGCGGCCGAUAUCAGAUUAGCUAGUUGGUGGGGUAAAAGCUCACCAAGGCGACGAUCUGUAGCUGGUCUGAGAGGACGACCAGCCACACUGGAACUGAGACACGGUCCAGACUCCUACGGGAGGCAGCAGUGGGGAAUUUUGGACAAAUGGGGCGCAAGCCUGAUCCAGCAAUGCCGCGUGCAGGAUGAAGGCCUUCGGGUUGUAAACUGCUUUUGUACGGGAACGAAACGGUGAGCUCUAAUAAAGCUUGCUAAUGACGGUACCGUAAGAAUAAGCACCGGCUAACUACGUG